AGACCCGGAUGAGUCCUAGUCCCCGCCACACACAGGUCGUGGGUUCUCCUUUGAGAGUGACCACUGGUUCCUAGAGCUUUUCCUAAACUGGAGACGGAUCCUGCCCUGGGGGUCUCAGUCACCGCGAGGACUCGAGGAUAGCAAAACUAAGUGUCAAAAGCACCUUCUGCACACAGUCUGCACACACUGGCCGGUGGUCCUGUUCCCGCAAGGUUGAGCUGUGUUCCAGAGACAUGGGUCCUCCGGGUGAUGAGGAGCCGCUGGAGGGCCCUGAGCUGCACGUGCUAAUGAUUAACGCCCCGUCCGUGCUGGCCGGUUUCUCAAAUGCCUCCUGACGAUUGCGCACAGCCGGACAUCAUUUGUACUGAGAGACAAAAGGAAAUCACUGAGGCUUUCUGAGGUGAGCUGGGCGGCCGCGGGGGGACUGGACUCACACCUGCUAACGGCCAGUCCACAGGACCUGCCCAGAGGCUCGGACACACAGCUGAAGUCACAUCCCACGGGGAGCAUCCUCACCAACUGACAAUCAGCACGGGUUUGUAAUUAAGGGUUUCUGCCCAGCCAAUGAACGGCCUCCAGAAACAACCUUUGUGGAACCCCCUAUAAAAGCCUUCCCAGCGCUUGCCUUCAGGACACUGCUCAGGGCUGACUCAGUGUACCCAAGCUGCAGUCUUUGUUUCCCAAAUAAGCAGUCAUUCAUUCUACCUCCGUGUCAAUCUUUUCUUCGUGAACACAGCUGGUGUCAGGAGCAGGGCUUAGCAAGAUCUCUCCUUUGAGCGGCUUUCUCUGGAAUCGGGUGAAGUCCCCACAACACAGAGGCCCCUGUGCGCGCCCCUUCUUUGGGGCCAGCACCUCCCUUCAACUGAGGCUGAUACCUUUAUUUGGGAAUCUGGGGGCAGUUGCUGCCUCUGUGCCGGCAAAGGCUUUCAGCUUGGAGGACGUUUUCCCUGCUUACUGGAGAUUUUCCCAAUGGUGAGUAUUAUUAUCUUAAGUAUGGGACUCUGUGCGUCUAAACCUCGUAACAGUUGUGCCCCCUCUGGACUCCAGCCCCGUUUAUCUGGAGCAAUGGACCUUUUUACAUUGGCCAAACUGGGGUUCCUUUGCUACACCAACCUAGGUUUUCUCUGAACUAAAUUAGAAGAACUUGGUUCCAAAACAAGGGUCUUAGCAUGUGGGAAGCCACAGAGCCCUAGGAAGGGGGCGUGCUCAUGGAAAGAUACUGAGCGCGAGGAGCGUUGGGUGCAGCUCCUCCAGAAGCGAGAGAACGGCCCGUGGCUAUGUAUUAAAAUAUACACGUCCAGAUGGGGUGCUUGUUUUAAUUGGCAUUUGGAGGCAUCUGGCUGGAUGCCAUCAGAACUCUAACAUUGCCUCUCUCCAAAACACAGCGCCUGAACUCACAGAGGCUGAUAAAGCACUGAAAGGUGGAGUCCUGGGCCCAGGGCUCCUCCUGCCCCUCGUUCGGGUUGUUCGUGAGUUUGGUGUGCUUUGGAAACAGACUUUUUAACCUCCAGAGGGAACCAAAUUAAAAAUGACACUUUUGUCAAUAGUUUAUUAAAUUCAAUUUGGCUUCCCUCUGGCCAUAAUCAAAAUUUCUGGGUAUUCAAAAUUGGAGUCAGAUGAGGCUAAAGAAAAACUUGGUUGAUUCCACAGCAAAAGCCGCUGCCUUGAGUUUCACUGAGACCAAAAACCUUACAGCUAAGAUAAUUUUCCCAAAAAGGAUGUAAAUGAUGUUAUUAAAGACACUCUGUCCCCAGCACCCCAUGAGCCAGUGUUACCAGAAUCUAUGAACACGUCAGACGACUCAUUGGGCAACUAAUGAACUUACACGUUUACAAAACAGUAUUGGUGGGGAAAUAUUUCAAGGGCGGCCGAAGAGGCACAACUGCCUUGUGCUGUUUGUCCAAAAUUCAACCCAGCAAAGACAAUUCGGAGAGUCCCAGGUCAUUCUGACCUGCCAAGUGGACCCUCUGAGGUUUGGCAAAUGGACUUCAUCCAGCCACUGCCUCUCAAGACUGUAAGUAUGUCGUGAUGAUUUGCAUGUUCUUCUCCUGGGUAGAAGCAUUCCCUUCCUGAUGUGCCGCUGCCUCAGAUGCUGCAAACUCUACAAGAACAGAUUCUCCCUAAGUGACAAGGGCAUAUCUUCACAGGUAGUGACAAGGAGCUCCACUGGCCAGGUCAUAAAACAAAUCUGUGAAGUCUGGUCCACAUGACAGCACUGUCAUUGUGCCUACCAUCCCCAAUCUUGCAGACUGGUGGAAAGCACAGAUGGCAUCAACUGGCAGAAUUUCAGGAAGCACUAAAAUUGCCCCGGCCAAAGGCACUUCCUCUGGUCCUUCUGAAUCUAAGGUCUGCACCUUUUGGAAACUGCAAGUUGUCACCUUUUGAAAUGAUCACUGGAGGGCCAAUGCAUAGAGUCCCUUCUGCUUUUAAUAGUCCACUGAUGAAAGGAGACAUGCUCCAGUAUUGUAAAGGAAUAAUGAAGGCUGUCCACGCAAGUCAUACCCUGGUCAGACAAUCUUUACACAGUGUGUUCCCAGUUGAUAAAGGCACCAGACAUCACAACCUUCAGCCUGAUCAUUUUCUCUAUUGGAAAAGACAUUUACAAAAAGAUUUCCUUCAACCUCAGUGAAGAGUCCACAUCAGGUACUCCUUACCCAUCCCUGUGCUGCCAAACUAAAAGGUGUUGACCCUUGGAUUGAGGUUUCUCAUUUAAAGAAACCUCUACCCCUGCUGGAAUUCGGACAAUCACCUGAAAUGAAAACUGACCCAAAAGUGAAGCAGAUGACAGUUGAGCUUGACUGAGGUCACGUCCCCAACGAGGGACAUGACUCCCUGGGACAAGUCCCUCCCAGCAACAAGGGACAUCAUCACAUUCACCAACUGAUCUGUGACACUUUCUGGAGGAAGAACUUGGUCAAAAGGGGGAAAUGUGAAAGAAAAUGAAGUCACUAAUGCUGAGGCUAAGUGGAACUGGGCGGCUGCGGGAGGCCUGCAUUCACACGGCUGACGGCCAGUCCACAGGACGCGCCCGUAGACUUGGACCAACAGCUGAAGUCAGCCCCUGACGGCCUUCACAUCUCCCAGCUGGGAGUGCCCUUAAGAACUAACCCAUCAGAAUGGGUUUCAUUUAGGAUUUCUGCCCAGCCAAUGAACUACCUCCAAAACCCCUUUGUGGAAAUCCCCUAAACAAAUCUCUCCAGGCCGGGCGAGGUGGCUCACACCUAUAUUCCCAGCACUUUGGGAGGCUGAGGUGGGAGGAUCACCUGAGGUCAGAAGUUCGAGACCAGCCUGGCCAACAUGGUGAAACCUCAUCUCUACUAAAAAUACAAAAAUUAGUCAGGG
rnacentral:lncRNA from 1 species